rnacentral:pre_miRNA from 1 species
AGUAGAAUUACUGGGUCUUAUUGUAACUCUAUAUUUAACUUUUUGAGGAACUGCCAAACUGUUUUCUAAAGUGACUGCACCAUUUUGUAUUCCCACCAGCAAU